CCAAGGAAACAAACCGUGAUUCUGAGGACACAGGGAAGCACUGCUCUGAUCUCUUAGAGGAGAGGUGGAAGGUUCGUGAAUAGUUGUUUGUUGACUUUCUGAGGAAACUGAAGAGAAGGAAGAUUCAUAUCUUUGACAAGAAGAAAGAAGGGAAAGGAAGGAGAGAGGAAGGGAGGACAAAGGAGGAAAGGAAGAAGAAAGAAAAAAGAAACAACUUUCAGGUAGCCACCACUGUAUAAAGCAGAAGGUGAACUUCUACCACACAGAGGCAGAAAUCUAGGAUUUAUAAAGCAUCAACAAGGAAUCUCAAUAAUGUGAAUAAAAAUCGGUCAUGAUGCUAGAACAGGAAAGAAGAGUUUGGACAGAAAACCACACAAGAAAACCAUGCUGGAAGAGGAGGCUAGACACAUAUGUUAUGGGAGGUCUUCAAGAAAACUGCAAGUGCACAAGACAACAGAACAAAGAGAACAGCGAUGAUGCCCUUCGAUUUCUUUUGUUUGCCAGGAGAAUUGACCUUAGAUGCAAAGUGACCAGCUGCUUCAAGUUCCUGCUGCCUUGACUUCCCCCUCCCUUGUGAUGGACUGUGGACUGUAUGUUAAACUGCACUUAUCACAGCAACAGGGAAAGAAACUAGGACGGAAAUCAUAAUUCCAUCUGAGAAGACCAAAGUGAGCAACCGAGAAAUAUGUUGAAAUACGUCAAAAACAAGCAAGACAAGAACUCGUGGAAGUAGUCUAAAAUCCCCCUGAAGGGAGAAUAGAAACUAAGUAUGACCAAGUGACAAA
rnacentral:lncRNA from 1 species